UUUACAUUUAUCCCUUUUUUCUUAUCUUUCCUUCUCCUUUUCCGUUGUGCCCUAUCCCCUGUAGCAGGUGUUCUUACUCACCCUCUUAGCCUUUCAAAGCAAAGAAACCCAACAUCAAAGCCACCUUCGGGUCCCUUUCUUAUGCUAACAUCUACACCAUCAAAUUCGGCAAUACCUUACUGAUAUCCACCAAUGCCUUCCAGAACCUCGCCACCUACCUGAUAGGGAAAUAAGGGGUAAGGGGUUGGUUUUGAGGACCAGUGCCUCCAGAAGAGAAGAAGAAGGAAGAGAAUAUCAGAAUUGGUUAUGCUUGUCCCCCCUAUACGAUCAGCAUCAUUCAAGCAAGAUCUUCUGCACCAGCUCAUACGUAAUCCUUAAGGUAAGUAGGCCUUGCAAUUCUUCUUUUGGUUUUGCCUGCUAAUUGCACCCCUGUUUCUGUAACUUGUUCUUUGACUGCACUAUCACUACCCCUAUGUCGAAGUCCCCAACCUUACUCUCAUUGUUGUCGCCACCAACCUCUUUAUUGACCAGGAAACCAUAUUCCAUAUCUUUUGCAAAUGUCCUAACAACAACACCACUAAUUACAUUAUCGGGUAAAAAAAAAAUAACCCACUUGAACAAGAACCUAAAUGUGCAGAAAUCCAACCACAAUAGCUUAACCCUAAACGUGAACUACGAGAUUUGGUUGGUUUUGCAAUGAUUAGCUUGAUCCCGAACCUGAACAGCGAGAUCUAGUUCAUUUAGCGGUGAUUAACUCGAUCUCGAACCUGAACAAUACUCUUAGGUCUAUUUGGUUUGUGGCUACUGUUCUCGGAGGUGGUAAUUGCAUUAUUGUUUGCGGUGGAGGGUAUAUUGUUGUUAUUCAUAGAGGUGGUAAUUGCAUUAUUGUUGUAGGGUUUUUGGGGUGAUUGUUUUGGAGGUUAAUGAGUCUGUGCUGGUUUUCGGUUUUCGGCGAGAGAGGUAUGUAUGUGAAGGAUUUUUUUUUUUAUCAACCAACAAAGAGAUAUAUAUAUAAGGCACAAGAAGUGCAUAAAUAGCUGACAAGCCAAUAAAUAGCUGCUAGAUACAAGAUCAUGGUAAGAAUCUUAUCAUGCAUAGCCUGAAAGUGCAUAAAAUAAGAUUCUAACCUAUACAAGUACGAUAUAUAUAGGGGUUGAACCCCACACAUCACACAAACACCUAUAAAUCAACAUUUUUAAAUUCGAGAGUUUAUGGUAAACUUGUGACAAUUUCAUAAAUUUGGCUUGUAAGUGCAUAAUAGUAUGUUUUAUAUAAAAAAUAAUAAUAAAAUAUCUAUAAAUAACAUACCAAUUAAACAUUUUAACAAUAUAAUAAAGUAAAAUAGUAAAUCAUAAAUUUCACAAUACUUAAAUAACUAAGUCUCGUAAUGCAUCACUACUAGAUAAUAACUUCUAGAUGUUAUAAUAAUGAUAGAAUAUUCCCAUCGAGGGUUUGAUAUUAUCAGAGGAUAAGGGUUUGAGGUUGGUAGAGAUAAAAAAAAAUUAUUCCGGAAUAACAUACUGAAUGGAUUGGAGGCAUGUUGAAGAAUAAAUAAAUAGAAAACAACCUAAAAUAACUUACGUUUUGGUCUAAUUUUUUUACUUGUUGACUAAGUGGUAAAAUUGAGAGUCUAUAGAAUUUACUUAGAGUUUAUCGAGUUUAUCUAGAGUUUACUAAAACAAGAGUUUACAUACGAGUCAACUCACAAAAAAUAAGUGGAUUUGUAAAUUCGUAAGAGAUAACGAGUUAAUUCGAGAGUGUGAUAAUCAUGCCUAUGAUAGUAAAGACAAACUGAAUUGGGUUACUACUAAGAAAGAAACUACAGAUAUAGGAUAACCUUCGACCUGCAUGCUCCUGUGUUACACAUCUACUGUGAGAAAAAAUAGUUAAAGGUCUUUACUUUUCCUUUCAACCAUGUCCAUGCAUAAAACAAACUAUCCUCCAUGAGUUUAACUUCAUCGAACCCAGUUUCAUCAAAUACACACGCAUUACGAUGAAGCCAUAUGCUCCAAAAAAUGGUGCACCACGCAAUCUGUCAUCUCUGAUUUGUUACUUUAGAUCCGUGUAGAAUGUUAGCUAAAAUGAUCAUCCACAAACCAUGGGCAUGCCGAGAUAAUUCCUACCAUCUGAUACCACUGUCACCAAACAUAAGAUACUCGAGGACACACAAAGAGGAUAUGAUUAAUGGAUUCAUCCACCUGGAAACAAAAAGCACAUCCGAAAUCAUCGUUUAACACAUGGAUACCCCUUUUACAAAGGUUAUCCCUAGGGCAACCUUCAAAGCUGCCCUCCAAACAAAAAGCUUGACUUUUGGAGGCACAUCGAACUUCCACAAAAGUGUAAAACAAGCAAAAACUUGGGGAAAAUUCUGCAUUUCCUAUAGAGCAUGAUAAUUCACAUAAUAGUAUCCCAUUUGUUCCCCUGCCCAAAACCAUUUAUCUGCUUGUGUCGGCCUUAACGUCAUAUUAUGGGUUAAAUUUAAUUACUAAUGCAUCCAUUCCCUCUUCCACAAGGGUUGUAAUUGGUGGUGGUGGUGGCAACCCAUGUAACGAAUAGUUGAUGAUGUCAUCAUGUGCGUUGGUUGUAGCUUGGCAUGAUGAUGGUGCAUGUGUUAGGUGUUGGUGGGAGGAGUUGGGGUAAUAUGGUGAAUGUGGAUUGAAGAAGAUGAAUAAGACUAAAAUAAAGAUAAUGACAAUUUUUAGUGGCAUUAUUUUAAAUUGACUAUUUCAUAAUUUAAAAGUUUUAAAUAGUAUUUGUGCCAAUGUGUUAACCACAUCAAGUACAUACUCAUGCGGGAUAUUAUGUGAAAACUUUUAUAUCAAUAUUGAUCGGAAUAUCACCAUGAUUAGAUAAAUCUUAGUAUUUUAUUGUGUUUAUAUUUUAUGUUUAUUUUUAAAAUGACUUCUAUUAUUAUUAUUAUUAGGAAAAAAUAUUUUUUGUCUUUAAACUUUUUAGAAUUUAUGUUUUUAGUUCAUAUAUUUUUUAUUUUUGUCCUUAAACUUUCUUUUCAUUCUUAUUAUUAGUCUUGAUUUUUUUUCUUUUCUUAUAAUCCUUUUAAGGGACUCUAAUCACCCAAAAAAGUUAAAAAAAACUAUAAAAGUAAGGAUUAUAAAAAAAUUAAAGGAUUAAAAUAGAUAAAAGAAAGUUAGAGAAUUGAAAACAAAAAUUAUAAAAAUUUUAAAGACAAAAAAAUAAUAAACUCUUGUUAUUAUAUGUUAACUUUAGAUAAAUUUAAUAUGUUAUAUUAUAGUUGUGUCAUGUCUUAUAAUUUUUAAUUUUUGACACAUUCUUGUAUUUGUGCUUUCUGUGGCCCUAUUGGUUCUUGGCGAGGUUGAAGGCCCAUGGUAGUUACUCAACUGCCUUUCCUGCCAUUUACUUAUACAAAACAUUUUAUGUCUUUAAUUAUAUAUCUUAACUUUGUUAUUAUUCGCCUUCUACACUUUCUGUCUUUGGCAUUAAAGUGUUUGUACAAAUGAAUGCAAGUCUUGUCGUCUGCAUCGGAGCCGCCUGCUUCACCCAUCGCGUUUGGAGUCAUUUGAACACAUUUAAUUUAAAAUUAAAAUGUACUUAAACAAAAACUAAGUCCAAAGGGUCCAAAGUGCCUUAUAUUUUGUUC